AACCAAGCAUAAUUGAGAUUUUUUGGAUGUUUCGGCUUUGCAUUUCUUUGUGCUUCAUUUGGUUUUCUCGUUAAAUUUGAUUUUAACUUAGAAUGUCCAAGGGUUAUAGUUUCUGGGCUUUGAAUAAUUACAUUAUCUCUGCAGUAUAUUUUACUGUAAAUCACUGCCGUGUACCCCUAACAUUGCCUCCAUCUUCAUUUUUCUUCCUGUGGUAUAAUGUAGUUUCCCUGCUCUGUGAGGUUUUUGAGGAGACAGCAGUCCGUGAUUCGCAGCAGGCCUGGUAGCUUAUGUGUGACAGCAGUGGAUUCCCAGUAAGGCAUCAGACCUUCAUCUGGAGACUGGGGAGGAGAAUGCUGGGAUGGGGAAUUGUUUCAUUCAGCUCUUUGCUCCAGGUGUGAAGAGUCCUUUUCAUUACAGAUCCAUACAACUUACUUUGGCUUCCACUGCAGGCUUUAUAGAGAGGACAAGGAGCAGUUUAAUCUGGUUCACGAAGAGCACAGAUACCUGCUCUGAGUUCACUGUUGCUUUGACAGGGAAACUGUGACUGUGCUAUAAAAACAUCUGCAGCUCUGAAUUUUGUCUCCUCUGUCAGUAAUAUUUCUCUGAUGAGAAUUAGCAAAGGCAAAUCUGGAAGGAUGAAGAACCAGAGAGGAAAGGCAGAAAACUAGCAAUGGAGAGACAUAUAUGUCGCAUGACUCUUCUCUGGUAGGAAAGAUCUUGCACACAUACACAAAAGAAAAUCAAGUCUUCCUCACAAUGGAUUGGUUUCCUUUGGAAAGCUUGCUCCAGAUUGUAUACUGGAAGGUAUGAAUAUCAUUCAAUGUAGUAAAAGGAG
ensembl:lncRNA